CCAAAUUUCACAAACUCUUCUCGAAGCAAUUGAAAAAUCAAGGCUUUCAAUUGUUGUUUUGUCUGAAAACUUUGGAUAUUCCACGUGGUGUCUUGAUGAACUAGACAAGAUUAUCAAGUGCAUGAAGACCAAGAAUCAAUUGGUUUGGCCUAUUUUUUACAAAAUAGAACAAUCAGAUGUAAGCAAUCAAACAAAAAGUUAUGGCAAAGCCAUGACAGCACAUGAAGAUAGAUUUGGAAAGCAGUCUGAGAAUGUACCAUCUACUAGUUGUUUUAAUAAUUCAAAAUUGUGUUGGACGUGUAUCAUGUACUUGGGAUACAUGCAAUUUCUAAUCGGUAAAUAACACAUCAAUACCUUCUAGUUUGUAAUUAAACAUUGAUCUCUCUUUUUUUUUUUUUAUUCAAAAUCAUAUACAACUCCCUUCCACUUAACACCACCGUUGGUUAGUUCUCGGUUAUACAAAGAAGUUAAAGCUCGCCAAAAAAAUGAUAAAUUCAAUGGCGGAAAAAUUCAAGUCAUAAUGUAGACGGGGGCGUGCUUCAAUGCGGCUGCGUGCACGGGGACUGACGUGUUCCCUCAUGUCACAAUGCCUCAUUCAGGGUCUACGUGCCUUCAUAUGAUGGACUUUCUAGCGGUCCAGAACAAUAUAUAAGAUUUAAAAUAAGAUAAUGUUGGGAGUUAUGUUUAGAAUAAUUUUAGAAUACUGGUUUAGAAUGAGACUUUUCCAUUUAAUUAUUAUAUAUUGCAUCGAUUUCCAGCAAUUGUUUCACAACUUGAAAUUUUUUUCAUUGCUAAUUGAAUUUGUUAUUCUAAUCAAGAACAACUUGACUUGUUAGGAUUGGGUUGAUUUAUUCCCAUAAAUUAAUAAAUAUACUUUCAUGAAUCAUUCAUCAUUGCGUACCUAAAAUUAUAGUUUGUCAUUUUCAUCAUAUAAUAAUUAUAAAGGAAAGAAAGACCUUGACCAAAAAAAAAUAAAAAGGAAAGAAAGACAAAAGAGGGUUCUAGGACAAACCGCAUGAAUUCAUGGCAUUUUGUUGCUUAAUUUUAGAUGUUUGUGACAUAUUGUACAUUGUCAAUGUUAGAAUUUUUUUCAUAGCCUCAUUAGUAUCGAUUAGUGUUCAAACUAAUUAGUCUCAACUCUUCUAUGCUUUUGCAACAUCAGAUCCUACAAGACACUAUAGUUAUGUUCAUUCAGUAAUUCAAAGACUAAAGAAAAACAUGAUGAAUAAAAAUCAGGUUGAUGGCAGCUACAAGUACGAUGUUUUUUUAUGUUUUAGAAAGGUGGACACUUACUAUACCUUCACAGGUAGUCUCUAUCAUGCUCUGCGUAACAAGAGAAUCAAGACCUUCUACCCACAUGAAACUGAUAUUAAGAAACUUCAACCUUCUCCUAUUGUGCUCAAGGCAAUUAAGGAAGCAAGGAUUUCUAUUGUUGUUCUCUGAAAACUUCGCAUCCUCCACGCGUUGUCUAGAUGAACUUGUUAACAUCCUUGAGUGUAUGAAGAUGAAAAAUCAACUUGUUUGGCCAAUUUUUUUUAAAGUGGAGCCUUGGGAGGUAAGGAAUCAGAAAGGCCGUUUUGGCGAAGCCAUGUUGAAGUUAGAAAAAUGGCUUCAAAAUUAUCCUUACAGGAUACUGCAAUGGAAGAAAGCUUUGCAUCAAGUCUCCUUGAUUGCUGGAUGGAAUUACGGUGCUGAGUAUGUACUACUUUUCUAUAUACCACUAGUAGCAACCUAGUACUAGGGUUGUUCCAAAAAAAAACAAAAACUGAACAGAAGUGCUAAACCAAACCAAACCGCAUCGGAAAAAAGCAAACUGUGACUAACAGUUUUUGAACUGAACUGAACCAGUGAGACAUUGAUGUGAUUCAGUUUGGUUUAGCGUUUCGGUUUUUAGUUUUUUUAAACAUUCAUAAUAUUGACUUGGUUCGUUUUUUUUCCUACAGUUCUAGUUAUGAGUUAAUGAUAGCACUUUGGUAUCAUUCGGUUUGAAAACGUACAUUAAAAUUUUUAUAAAGGUAGUUUUGGUUCGGUUUAUAACUACAAAACAGUUGUACCGAACCUCUAUAAUAAAAGUUCGUUCAAGACAAAUCAAUAAUUGUUUAAUUCUUUUUUUCUGAGCUGUAGAAACAGUUCAAUUAAAUUAAAUUCAGUUUUCUUUUGGAACUCCAACGGUCAUAGACAUCACCUUUUGGAAGUAGAAGCUCACAUUUCUCCUCGUCUUCACUGUUAAAAUGAUCAUUUGACCAAUGAUGGAUUGACAAAAAUAAGAUAAAAAGAAUAUUCAUGUCUGGAAACUCAUCGAACAUACACAAUUCAGGUCUCAACCAUAAGGACCGUGAGAUUCUGCAUCCGAUGAGCGUCAUUCGAGUGAUUUUUUAAGUAUCGAUCCACCGUAAACCAACUAUCAAUAGAACCCGUGUUGUUUGUUGGGCUUUAGAAAUCUUGUUUGAGACUUUGUUUCAGGUUGUCAAUAUGCUCGAACACAAUAAUAGACUUUAUGAAUUAAAAUGAUCUGUGCAUUCAUAGGUUCGAAUAUGAACUCUUCAAGAAGAUUGUGGAGUCAACGGUACAAUCACUGCCUCGCUACGAUGUUUUUCUCAGUUUUUGCGGGGAAGAUACUCGCUACUCUUUUACAGGAUUUCUCUAUCAUGAUUUGCGUCAUGAGGGAUUCAAAAUCUUCAUGGAUGAUGAGGGAUUGAAGGGUGGAAACCAAAUUUCACAAACUUUACUCAAAGCAAUUGAAAAAUCAAGGCUUUCAAUUGUUGUUUUGUCUGAAAACUUUGGAUAUUCCACAUGGUGUCUUGAUGAACUUGUCAAGAUUAUGGAGUGCAAGAAGACCAAUAAUCAAUUGGAAUUGACCAAUAUUUUACAAAAUAGAACGACCAGAUGUAAGCAAUCAAACAAAAAGUUAUGGUAAAGCCAUGGCAGC
rnacentral:lncRNA from 1 species